CACUGCCCUAGGAGAUGUGUGAUCCAGAGACUUCUGUGCCAAAGACUGCCUCAUCGAGGCUUCGUCGCCCCUUCCUCCUUGUCUCCACAAAGCGUGGUGCUGAGAGCACCGGCUCCUGUCUUGUAUUCAUUUUCCAGGAGAUUUUUGCUUGCAGGUGCACCGUACCUCAGGCAGACAUGGGCAGGUUGCGAGGCUUGAGCACAUGGCAGUGAAAUGGACAGUCAUUCCGUCCGCUGGCCCCGGGCCUGGGAAACGACAGGUUUCACUUCCCAGGUCAAAACUCCAGGCCAAGGCAGAAGAGAGGGUUCCUAGAAACAGCAGGUUUUAAAGAGCAGGUGGUGUUGAAGAUAAGAUGGCAGCAGAUGCGGACACUGCUCUUCCUUAUCGCUGGCUGGGCCUUCAGGAAGAUCCUAGGCUACUCUGCAGGGAACCACUGCCCCUGAUGGAAGAGGCCCAUCCUACAGGGCCGGACUUACUCCUUUAGUAAAGCCUAAUGACGAUUCCCGGUGAGCUCCGAGAGUGCCAUCUGGGAGGCGGUCAGCUUGCAUUUCACUGUGCUGCUCCUUGAACUCACCAGACACCUUUCUUUAGUUGAAAUAACACAACCCGGCACCACGCUGGGAUCCUGGGGAAUGUAACGUAAGCUGGUCUUCAUGCCAAAUUUCAGCCACACCGGAGCGUGUUCUGCAUGUUGUUGAAUGUUUUCUCAGUCGCUGUCCAUGCACACGUGCUGCUCAUUUCCUGGGAGGCCGCCUUUUGUGACAGAACGACAGGAAGCUCUGCUUUAGAGGAGGGCGGCAGUCGGCCAGUGGAGUUUCUCUCGGGAGGGCAUCAGUCCAAGAAACACCCAGAGUUUGUGUGACUUGACCCUGAGAUUGGGAGCAUUGAAACCAUGGGCACCAGUUGCUGUUUUGAUGCCAUUCAUGGGGCUUGAGAACAGUCAUUCUCUGUACUGUGUCCUGACGGGUGAGAGGAGGGACAGCGAGGUCCAGAGCCACCUCCUGGGUCUAUGUUGGCCUCAUCUCUUUGGCUCUUGGGAUGGGUCAGAGUUGGGUUCUGCUCUGGCUGCACUAAAAAGUGCCUCUGCUGAGCAAAUGGGGCUGCCUGUGGUCAGGGCGGGCGUACAUCCUGGACCCCGCCUUCCUAGGCGCCUACUCCAAAGGUCUGGAAACUGGUUAAUCUAAUUAUGAGGUUGGGGAAACACCGCUUUGGUCAUCUCCGUUUACAAAAUGAUGUUGGGAAUGGGGGUUUCCCUCUCAAAAGUCCUCAAGAUGGCAACUGAUUGGACACGCCCUCUCACUUACUACGUUUUCUCUAUUUGGAUGGCAGGUGGCAUUUAGCAGUAAAUUUGGGGAAAAUGUCAUCCCCUGGGCCAGACAGAUUGAGCCCGGUGUCUUGGAGUUGUCCUCUUCCUUGUGUGUGUGUGUGUGUUUUUUAAUUCAGUGACUAAACCAGAAACCCGGGUUUUGAUCAAUCCACCCAGUAGGUGGUUAGCUUUUUGUGUGAGGGAUGUCUGGUCUCCCCAUAGCUGCACAGAUUAGAGCAUGCGCAGGGCUGGCUGCAUUAGAAAAGGUGGGGAGGGACUUUGUUACAGGGGAUUUGACUGUUCUUUCUUAAUCGUAUGUAUUUGAAAUGCUUUCUGGGGAAGGCUGUCUGAUCCCUUCUGUGUGGCAGAAAAAUGCGUUAUCCAGGUAGUUUUUGCUACUAUAGAGAGCCUGUAAAUAAGGGCUUUGAAAAAAUAACUUUAACAAACCAGUAAGAUUCUGUGUCUCAUACAUAAACAUUCUGUGUACUUAGCACUUGAAAAUAAACAAAUCCAGACUUUUUAAAAUGCCAAAGAC